rnacentral:rRNA from 1 species
CCUACGGGUGGCUGCAGUGAGGAAUAUUGGUCAAUGGACGAGAGUCUGAACCAGCCAAGUAGCGUGAAGGAUGACUGCCCUAUGGGUUGUAAACUUCUUUUAUAUGGGAAUAAAAUGUUACACGUGUGGGAUUUUGUAUGUACCAUAUGAAUAAGGAUCGGCUAACUCCGUGCCAGCAGCCGCGGUAAUACGGAGGAUCCGAGCGUUAUCCGGAUUUAUUGGGGUUAAAGGGAGCGUAGGUGGAUUGGUAAGUCAGUUGUGAAAGUAUGCGGCUCAACCGGAAAAUUGCAGAUGAAACUGGCAGACUUGAGUACAGUAGAGGUGGGCGGAAUUCGUGGUGUAGCGGUGAAAUGCUUAGAUAUCACGAAGAACACCGAUAGCGAAGGCAGUUCACUGGACUGCAACUGACGCUGAGGCUCGAAAGUGUGGGUAGCAAACAGGAUUAGAUACCCUUGUAGUC